AUGCUUAACACAUGCAAGUCGAACGGAAACGAAGAUAGCUUGCUAUCAGGCGUCGAGCGGCGGACGGGUGAGUAACGCGUAGGAAUCUACCUAGUAGUGGGGGACAACCUGGUGAAAACCAGGCUAAUACCGCAUACGCCCCAAGGGGGAAAGCGUGGGACCUUCGGGCCACGUGCUAUUAGAUGAGCCUGCGUAAGAUUAGCUAGUUGGUAGGGUAAAGGCCUACCAAGGCGACGAUCUUUAGCUGGUUUGAGAGGAUGAUCAGCCACACUGGGACUGAGACACGGCCCAGACUCCUACGGGAGGCAGCAGUGGGGAAUAUUGCACAAUGGGCGAAAGCCUGAUGCAGCCAUGCCGCGUGUGUGAAGAAGGCCUUCGGGUUGUAAAGCACUUUCAGCGAGGAGGAAAGGUUAGUAGUUAAUAACUGCUAGCUGUGACGUUACUCGCAGAAGAAGGACCGGCUAACUCCGUGCCAGCAGCCGCGGUAAUACGGAGGGUCCGAGCGUUAAUCGGAAUUACUGGGCGUAAAGCGCGCGUAGGUGGUUUGUUAAGUUGGAUGUGAAAGCCCAGGGCUCAACCUUGGAACUGCACCCAAAACUGGCAGACUAGAGUACAGCAGAGGAUAGUGGAAUUUCAGGUGUAGCGGUGAAAUGCGUAGAUAUCGGAAGGAACACCAGUGG
rnacentral:rRNA from 1 species